rnacentral:lncRNA from 1 species
UCCUGGAAACUGUGUAAUAUUUAUCUUCUUUUUUGAGAAGAAUACAGAAACUAACAAUGGAAUGUGUUAUACAGCAGUAUGACCCAUAUAUUACCAUUCAAGCAACCACAGAAUACAGCCAGAUUUAAAUAUUUGGAGCUCCAGUGGACCAGCAGAUUCUGAGGCCAAAAUUGUGCAGAGACCUUGCCUGAAUGCAGAAGAAAUGAAUAAAAAAUUGCAAGAAAAUAAAGCA